GAUUAAGGAACAUAAAUGCUCUUAGCAUCCAAGAUCAGGUGCCCUCUAAUCUUGGAUGCUAAGAAGGGUCAGCCCUGGUUAGUACUUGGAUGGAAGUCCACCAAUGAAUACUGGGUGCUGUAGUCU
rnacentral:rRNA from 11 species